GACGAACGCUGGCGGCGUGCUUAACACAUGCAAGUCGAACGGAAAGGCCCUGCUUUUGUGGGGUGCUCGAGUGGCGAACGGGUGAGUAACACGUGAGUAACCUGCCCUUGACUUUGGGAUAACUGCAGGAAACUGGGGCUAAUACCGGAUAGGAGCUCCUGCUGCAUGGUGGGGGUUGGAAAGUUUCGGCGGUUGGGGAUGGACUCGCGGCUUAUCAGCUUGUUGGUGGGGUAGUGGCUUACCAAGGCUUUGACGGGUAGCCGGCCUGAGAGGGUGACCGGCCACAUUGGGACUGAGAUACGGCCCAGACUCCUACGGGAGGCAGCAGUGGGGAAUAUUGCACAAUGGGCGGAAGCCUGAUGCAGCAACGCCGCGUGCGGGAUGACGGCCUUCGGGUUGUAAACCGCUUUCGCCUGUGACGAAGCGUGAGUGACGGUAAUGGGUAAAGAAGCACCGGCUAACUACGUGCCAGCAGCCGCGGUGAUACGUAGGGUGCGAGCGUUGUCCGGAUUUAUUGGGCGUAAAGGGCUCGUAGGUGGUUGAUCGCGUCGGAAGUGUAAUCUUGGGGCUUAACCCUGAGCGUGCUUUCGAUACGGGUUGACUUGAGGAAGGUAGGGGAGAAUGGAAUUCCUGGUGGAGCGGUGGAAUGCGCAGAUAUCAGGAGGAACACCAGUGGCGAAGGCGGUUCUCUGGGCCUUUCCUGACGCUGAGGAGCGAAAGCGUGGGGAGCGAACAGGCUUAGAUACCCUGGUAGUCCACGCUGUAAACGGUGGGUACUAGGUGUGGGGUCCAUUCCACGGGUUCCGUGCCGUAGCUAACGCUUUAAGUACCCCGCCUGGGGAGUACGGCCGCAAGGCUAAAACUCAAAGGAAUUGACGGGGCCCCGCACAAGCGGCGGAGCAUGCGGAUUAAUUCGAUGCAACGCGUAGAACCUUACCUGGGUUUGACAUGGAUCGGGAGCGCUCAGAGAUGGGUGUGCCUCUUUUGGGGUCGGUUCACAGGUGGUGCAUGGCUGUCGUCAGCUCGUGUCGUGAGAUGUUGGGUUAAGUCCCGCAACGAGCGCAACCCUUGUUCACUGUUGCCAGCACGUUAUGGUGGGGACUCAGUGGAGACCGCCGGGGUCAACUCGGAGGAAGGUGGGGAUGACGUCAAGUCAUCAUGCCCCUUAUGUCCAGGGCUUCACGCAUGCUACAAUGGCUGGUACAGAGAGUGGCGAGCCUGUGAGGGUGAGCGAAUCUCGGAAAGCCGGUCUCAGUUCGGAUUGGGGUCUGCAACUCGACCUCAUGAAGUCGGAGUCGCUAGUAAUCGCAGAUCAGCAACGCUGCGGUGAAUACGUUCCCGGGGCU
rnacentral:rRNA from 1 species